rnacentral:rRNA from 1 species
GACGAACGCUGGCGGCGUGCUUAACACAUGCAAGUCGAACGGAAAGGCCUCUUUCGGGGGGUACUCGAGUGGCGAACGGGUGAGUAACACGUGAGUAACCUGCCCUUGACUUUGGGAUAACUUCAGGAAACUGGGGCUAAUACCGGAUAGGAGCUCCUGCUGCAUGGUGGGGGUUGGAAAGUUUCGGCGGUUGGGGAUGGACUCGCGGCUUAUCAGCUUGUUGGUGGGGUAGUGGCUUACCAAGGCUUUGACGGGUAGCCGGCCUGAGAGGGUGACCGGCCACAUUGGGACUGAGAUACGGCCCAGACUCCUACGGGAGGCAGCAGUGGGGAAUAUUGCACAAUGGGUGGAGGCCUGAUGCAGCAACGCCGUGUGCGGGAUGACGGCCUUCGGGUUGUAAACCGCUUUCGCCUGUGACGAAGCGUGAGUGACGGUAAUGAGUAAAGAAGCACCGGCUAACUACGUG